rnacentral:rRNA from 1 species
UGGGUGAAAGAAAACCAGCAAGUGGGUCCAAAGGAAUUGCAGAAGAACAUCAAAGAUAAGUUCAAGAUAGAUUUACCAUACAUGAGGUUGUUCAAUGGUAAACAACAUGCUAUGGAUUCUAUUUAUGGUAACUGGCAGGAAAGUUUUCAAUUGUUGUAUUCAUUCAAAGGUGAAGUGGAGAGGACAAGCUCAGGUAGUAUUGUAGAUAUUGAUCACCACACCGUGGAGUACACAUUCAGGGGAGUGACAAAGACCAAGGAAUGUUUUAGAAGGGUGGCAGGCUGCAGGCCUUAUUUGGCUAUUGAUGCCACUUUUCUCACAGGAAGGUUUAAAGGACAGUUAGUAGCAGCUUGUGCAGUUGAUGCACAUAGUUUUGUAUUUCCAGUUGCCUAUGGUGUGCUAGAGACAGAGUCUGAGGAGAGCUGGACUUGGUUUUUGCAUAAUCUCCGCCGGGCUAUUGCACAUCCCAAUGGGUUGGUCAUUCAUACAGAUGCCUGCAAAGGUUUAGAAGUGGCCGUGGACAAUGUGUUCCCUGGAGUAGAGCAUAGGGAAUGCAUGCGUCACCUUGCUGCAAAUUUCAUGAAGAAAUUCAAAGGAAAGGUGUAUACCGACAAUUUAUGGCCAGCAUCUUUGACAUGCAGUGUGAAGAAGCACAACUACCACUUGAGGCAGUUAUACAUGAAUCCCAAAGUGAAAGAAUACUUGAAAACACACCACUCCAAGUUAUGGGCUAGAAGCCAAUUCAGUGAAGUGAGCAAAGUUGACUAUGUGCACAAUAAUCUAGCAGAGUCUUUCAACUCAACGAUCCGGAAA